rnacentral:rRNA from 1 species
AUGGGGCAUAGCAAGCAUCAAAGCUGCACCCUGAAUUGGGACAGUCUGAACAUCCUGGUUGUGGCCUCACGAGAGCUGGACGGGCCGUUCACCAUGGCCGAGGUCUGGGCGGCGACCCUCGCGUCUCCCACGGAAAAGGCCCCGGGCCCGGACGGCUUCACUGGGCAGUUCUAUCGCUCAUGUUGGCCGAUCAUCAAGGAGGAGGUCAUGGCGGUAUUUAACAAGUUCUAUCAGAUGGCAAGGAGUAAUCUCGUCGAGUUGAAUUCUGCGCUCAUUGCCCUGUUGCUGAAGAAAAAUGGUGUGUCAGAGAUCAGUCAUUACAGACCCAUCAGUCUGAUUCACUCCAUGGCAAAGUUAAUCUCCAAAGUGCUCGCCCUCAAGUUAUCCUCUACUCUGACGGAGUUAUCUUGCCGACGCAAACGGCGUUUCAUAAAGGAAAAUGCAUCCACGACAGCUUUCAGUACGUGCAAGGCCGUGUCAGAAUGCUUCAUAGAGAAAAAAGCAGGCCUUGCUCUUCAAGCUCGAUUUCGCUCGCGCGUUUGA